UACAGAGGCCCCAAGCGUUACCCGGAAUCACUGGGCGUAAAGGAUGCGUAGGUGGCGUUGUUAGUCCUUCGUUAAAUACUUCAUGCUCAACAUGAAGAUCGCGAGGGAAACGGCAAUGCUCGAGGAUGUACGAGGCGUGCGGAACUCAUGGUGUAGGGAUUAAAUCCGUUGAUAUCAUGGGGAACACCAAAAGCGAAGGCAGCACGCUGGGACAUUCCUGACACUGAGGCAUGAAAGCGUAGGUAGCAAAAAGG
rnacentral:rRNA from 1 species